rnacentral:rRNA from 1 species
UACGGAGGAUGCGAGCGUUAUCCGGAUUUAUUGGGUUUAAAGGGUGCGUAGGCGGAACAUUAAGUCAGCGGUAAAAUCGAGGGGCUCAACCCCGACAAGCCGUUGAAACUGGCUUGCUAGAGUGGGCGAGAAGUAUACGGAAUGCGUGGUGUAGCGGUGAAAUGCAUAGAUAUCACGCAGAACUCCGAUUGCGAAGGCAGCAUACCGGCGCCCCAACUGACGCUGAAGCACGAAAGCGUGGGUAUCGAACAGG